rnacentral:rRNA from 1 species
AUUGAACGCUGGCGGCAUGCCUUACACAUGCAAGUCGAACGGCAGCACGGGGGCAAUCCUGGUGGCGAGUGGCGAACGGGUGAGUAAUAUAUCGGAACGUGCCCAGUCGUGGGGGAUAACGUAGCGAAAGCUACGCUAAUACCGCAUACGAUCUAUGGAUGAAAGCGGGGGAUCGCAAGACCUCGCGCGAUUGGAGCGGCCGAUAUCAGAUUAGGUAGUUGGUGAGGUAAAGGCUCACCAAGCCGACGAUCUGUAGCUGGUCUGAGAGGACGACCAGCCACACUGGGACUGAGACACGGCCCAGACUCCUACGGGAGGCAGCAGUGGGGAAUUUUGGACAAUGGGCGCAGGCCUGAUCCAGCAAUGCCGCGUGCAGGAUGAAGGCC